GUAUAUCACUGUCUAAGUUAAAGCUAAUAUGCAAAUAAGCUUGAAUGAAAUUUCUUAAUAUGCUUACUGUAGUUUAGAUUUUCUUUUUAGGGGGGUUUACCUCAAAACUACACUUUGCUGCAAUCAUUGAACUAAGUGCGUGCAGUCUAGUUUUUUAUUUGCGAGAUGAGUGGUGGGGGAUUGUGCAGUAAUGAGAAUUAAAAUUGUUUUUCUUUGUACGAAUUAAACCAGUGCGGUCUAACUUAAAGGAAGUUUAUAGUUGUAUAAAUUUAAAUUUUGUUAAUAUAAAUUUUGCUUAGUAAACAUCACACUUUAUUUCCAAGUAUUAUUUCUUUAGGCGGAGACGAUCUAAUUAACGAUUCGACGUUGUGCCACUUUUGUAUUUGUUAAUGGUUAGUAUACCUGGGUUUAGGUAGUGAUGUAAAAGCCUGUACUUAUACUUAAUCUUGGAAAUCAAAGACAUAGCAAUUACUGCCAUGGGAUCGAAAUUGUCGACAUGUCAUUACCGAAAAUUGGACAUUACAAGCGAAAAUAAAAGAUUUGAUAUAAAUAUGCAAGACAACCGACACACUUCGCAGUGUCGCUUCAGGUCUCCCAAACAGUUAAUAGUAUCACACAGGACAGCACUUAGCCCCAGUCGGUUCAGACUCCUAUAACUUCAGCCGGAUCUAUAAGAGUCCUUCUUCAUAUAGAACCAACAUGUCUUAUACUUGUCUUAAAUGGUGCUCUGAUGCGCACCAUCAGUGUGGCGUGGGAGCGGAAGUAAGCAAUAUCAACAGGCUAUCAUGACACUCAGGAGUCAGAAGGAGGAGAAGCUGAUCUACACACAUAUAUUGUUGGCUGUAGGAAGAAUCCAGGUCAUAAACAGUUUAUACCUGUUGAUACAUUUACCUUGAAACAUUUACCUCAAUGUCUUCAAGACAAUGAUCUUUAUGAAUUUAUCAAAAGUAUGGCUGACCUAACAGUUAGAGUAGGUGUUACAAUGUCCAGUACACAAAGACCAAAAUUUUGGCCAAAGACAACUCACUUAUAUCCAUUUUAUAGAAUGAGUGACAGGAUAAAUUUGAGAACAGGAAGUGGAAGAGUAUGGUAUGUAAAUAAGUUUCAAGAUGGAGUCGUACAAGAUGGAGGUUAUAGAUGUAGUGACUACAAAAAAUGUUGGUGUAGAAAAUGUGAAGUUUCAGACUUAAAAAGCAAUGUAUGGUGGGAAUUUGAUAUUUACACAGCCGCACAUGUGAUUUUUGAUGACUUAGAGGCCAUACACACGACCUUGCGAUUGUUUUAUGAUACAGAGGAUAGCCCAGUAGUCACCGUGGAUAAGGUCAGUGUUGUAAAUGUAAACAUUGAGUAUGACUGUUGUUGGUUAAAAUGUGUUACAUGUGACACAAUAUUAGGAAAGAAACUAAAGGAAAUGUGGAUACAUUUUAAAAAUGUCUGGGAGAAUGUCUGGAAGAAAUACAAAGACAAAAGAUCUAAUUACAAGUUUAACGUUAUUGUGUCACAUCCUCAUGGAUGUUCUAAACAAGUCAGUGUUGGUCAAUGGAGGGACAGACAAGAAGUGGGUGGUAGAUGUAAGUUUACAUAUACAACUUGCACAUGUCCAGGAAGUAGUGGAGCACAUGUACACUGUCUAGGGUAUGAUGACUGGGCUUGGUCUGAUCUUGUCCAUAGUGGAAGUUUUGAGCCUGGAUUAAAUUACAGUGGAUUUGGUGUUGUCUAAUGAUUAGUUUCUCUUGUGAGUUAGCAAGCUCCAACACGAAAUAUUUUUUGAGAAAACUUGACAUUCUUAACAUUCUUAACAUUCAAAAUUAGAAAUCAAAAGUCUGUUUUGUCUUGAGAUGCAUACCUUGUCAUUUAAAUAUAGAGAUUAAAUUUUCAUUUUUUUAAAAGAACUAAAUAAAAUGCAAUAAAAUAUUUAAACUUUUAGUGUGUUAAUAACUCUUUAAAUUUUUUUUUUGUUUUAUGGAUAUCAAUGUUGUUAUUUGAAUUAAUUAAAAUAGUCUAUAGAUUCUAUAUAUUGUCAUAGGUCUCAGUGAGACACUAUGGUUUGAUUUGUGCUAUAUUAAAAACACAACUUGGCAGAAGUAAAGACACGAUGGUUUGUUUUGUUUUGUAUUAAUGAAUAUGAAUGGGACUGUGAGACACGAUGGUUUCAUUCAUUCUUUAUUAAAGGAAACAACUUGGCCGCAAUUAAGGCAAUAUGUUUGUUUUGUUCUGUAUUAAAUGAUACAAAAAGACCGCUAUGAAGACACGAUGGUUUGAUUUGUUUUGUAUUUAAGAAUAUCAUCAGGUUUAGGUUUAAGUGGCCACUGCUCUAUUCACUAAUCUUUAGAAUACAAGAAAUUGCCAUUAUAAUUUUAAAAAUGCUAAUGUAAGUCGUGCUAAAUGGUAAAGUAAUGGCUGGGAUAAUGAUGUCUUAGAUAAAAAAUAAAUAAAUAUAUUUUUUACUCUAGAUAAAUAGCAUUUCUCAGAUUUGUUUGUUAAAAAUUACAAAAAAAUGAAAUUCUCUUUGGUUCAUAUACAUGAAAUUUUUUUACAUUAAACUUCUUAUUAGUUACUAAACUUAUUUUUAAAUAGCCUUCUAGAACAAGUUAUGUAGAUAGUAACUUAUAAUUAGGGAAGUAAGACUUUCAUUUAAUUGCUUCUUUUAAAUUUUGAAGCAAUUUUUUUACUUAAAAUGUGUAUUUAAAUUUGAGGACAGCAAGUAGAAGAGUAUGCUACGUAAAAAAAAAAAGAAAGAGAGAGAGAGAGAGAGAGAGAGAGAGAGAAAGAAUUUGGAGUAUUUCUAUACCUAAACCUUACACAAAUUUUUUUAGGCUUUCUUUUUUAAGAAGAAAUGGAUUUUAAUGCAAACAGUACUACGAAAGAAUGUAAAUUAAUAUUUUUAAAAUAUUUUUGAAAUGCAAUUAAUUUGUCUUAUAUAAUUUCCGCAUCUUUCGUUAUAAAGGCAAUUGUCAGAACGAUCUAGGCGAAUGGAACUCUACAUCAUAUGACUUUUUCUUAAAUUUGUAAAUGUUUAGUUUUCCUUUUUAAUCCAACCAUAUUUAUAUAUCUACUAAAGUAACCCGUAAGUUUUAAAAUUUCUUUGUAAAUCAACCUUUAAGGUCUAAGUGCUUAUGUAAAAUUAGUCUAAAAAGCGUUUUUCAAUAACCGUUUCUAGUAAGUUACUUUUUUUUUUAAAUUCUGAACGACCUAUUGUCGAUAUUUUUGAAAAAAAAAAGUCUAUUGACAUACAUUUGUUUUAAUUUAAUACCUUUAAUAUGGAACGAUUUGAGGUCGAUAAUUAAACUAUAAUGACGUUUUUUUUUCAAGGAAUGUAGGUUUAAUGUAAGUCAAUGAUGCAAUUUCAAGCAAUCAUUUGACAUAGUUUUUUUUUAUGUAACAAUUUCAGGAACAACUUUAUAUUUAAUGAAAUAUAAGUCAGUAUAGAGAUUUCAUUUAGCAUUCAUAUGCUAGUUAUAUUAAAAACCGGAACAACAUAUGAUUAAUCAAAUAAUUUGCAACGUUUAAGCACGGAAAUUAAAUAUAAUAUAAAUUAGAAGAGCAAAAAGACAUUCGUUGACAUUGAUUUCUUUAAAAAAAAAAACGGAACAAUCUAUUAUAGAUACUAAAAACUAUAGAGAUGUUUCGGAAGGAAUAUUAAAGGUAUUAUCAGAUUUUAAAUUCUUUUAGUGUUGUUGUCUUUUUAAAAUCUAAACGUAACGACAAAACGCACAAAAUAAGAGGUUUUAUCUUGACGGGGCAAUAAACAAAAAACUAAAAAAUACAAUCUCCUUCUUUAAAAAUGUUUAAUUAGUGUUAUUUUUUAUAUCUAACCGUGACAGACAGACCGACCAACAGACAAAACACACAAAAAUAAGCUCUUUCAUUCUGAUGGGGGUACUAAAAAAAAAAAAAUUGAUUUUUUAAAUGUUUAAGAAAUUAGUUUAGUACCAUGUCAUGGCCGGGCUUUACGCUACUACACGAAAGUCGCUGCAUACAAAGUGCAUUCUUAGCCUUUAUAAACAAACAUAAAUGUUUUCUUUUAAUUUUACCAGCUAGUUGACCAGAAAAAACACCUUUGAUUAAUGUUGAUAUUUGUUCUUAACAUUUCUAGUACAUUUUAUAAAAUAUUUGACUUUGUGAUACUAAAAAAUCAGAAAAUCUGGGCAUAUUGUAACAUUGCCUUCCUUACAUUUACGUUAUCGUUUUAGAAUUGGUGUAUUUUUAUGAAAAAAUCGCUUGCAUAAUUAAUUUUAUAAAUUAAACUGUUUGCUUUUAGAAAACCAAAAGUAGCCUUUGUACCUAAAAUUUUCAAGCCGCAUUUAAUGGUGAAAUUAUAUUUUCUUAUCUCUUCUAGUUUUCGAGAUCUGAGUGUGACAGAGGGACCGACGGACAUUUUGCGCAAACUUAAUAGCGGCUUUUUCUCCUUACGGGGGCCGCUAAAAAAGUACAUUAUAAAAAACAAAGCUUAUUUUAAAUGUAUGAAUGAGAUUGGAUCAGUCAUAUAAUUAAAUUUGUAAUAAUUAUAGACUAGCAAUAAUAAAUAUGUGUUAUUAUUUUUUUUAACGAAUAAUUUUGUUUAGCGCAGUUUUAUGCCUUUAGAUUUCUCAAUUUGCUAUCACUAUACUAUCACUUGUCUGAAUAAGUUGAACAGGGUAAAUAGAGAAAAACUCCGGAAUUAUUUUCCACCUUUGGACGGAAUUAAUUUUUCCGCCAUUUCAGAGUGCGCUACUUUGCUUCGAUAUAAUUUGUAUAACUUUUUUUUUAUUUAUUAUUGGAAAAUAAUACAUUUGAUAUAGAAUUAAAGACAAA